UUGUGUGGAGGUGAGCAGUCGGGCCGGGUGGUAUCGCUGAGUGUAACAGGGACUUGAAUGAUUAGGGACUACCACACAGGCAGGUCACGCUGGCAUGACGAGACGCCCGCGGUGCAGUGCCGUAGCCAGCCAUACCGUAGGACGUGUUGAGCUUGCUGUGUGCAUAAACCGUUACGGGGCCAGGGUGUAGCUUUUUAGCUGUAGAUAUUCCGGUCUGGCCUAGACGGAUAACUUCGACAAGUCCUUCAGCUGUCUUCUCUCACGCUGAAGGCGGAUAUUUAGACUCCUGGAUACAAUGAAGCCAAAUGCAACAGUUUCCGGAUUUGUGUUUGGAAUAGGAUGUGUCGCCCUUCUUCUUAUGCUCUAUAAUACGCAGGUAAGU